GCAAACUUGGUCAUUUAGAGGAAGUAAAAGUCGUAACAAGGUCUCCGUUGGUGAACCAGCGGAGGGAUCAUUACCGAGUUUACAAACUCCCAAACCCAAUGUGAACGCUACCAAACUGUUGCCUCGGCGGGAUCUCAGCCCCGGGCGCGUCGCAGCCCCGGACCAAGGCGCCCGCCGGAGGGACCAAACAACCAAACUCUUGCAUGCCCCCUCGCGGGCUUUCUCUAAGCUCUGAGCCUUUCUCGGCGCGCCCUCGCGGGUCGCUACGAAAAUGAAUCAAAACUUUCAACAACGGAUCUCUUGGUUCUGGCAUCGAUGAAGAACGCAGC
rnacentral:misc_RNA from 1 species